UGGGGAAUAUUGGACAAUGGGGGGAACCCUGAUCCAGCCAUGCCGCGUGUGUGAAGAAGGCCUUAUGGUUGUAAAGCACUUUAAGCGAGGAGGAGGGUACUGGUAUUAAUACUACCAGGUACUGGACGUUACUCGCAGAAUAAGCACCGGCUAACUCUGUGCCAGCAGCCGCGGUAAUACAGAGGGUGCGAGCGUUAAUCGGAUUUACUGGGCGUAAAGCGUGCGUAGGCGGCUAAUUGAGUCGGAUGUGAAAUCCCCGAGCUUAACUUGGGAAGUGCAUUCGAUACUGGUUAGCUAGGGUGGGGGAGAGGGUGGUAGAAUUCCAGGUGUAGCGGUGAAAUGCGUGGAGAUCUGGAGGAAUACCGAUGGAGAGGGCAGCCAUCUGGCCUAACACUGACGCUGAGGUACGAAAGCAAGGGGAGCAAACAGG
rnacentral:rRNA from 1 species